rnacentral:rRNA from 1 species
GGAUUAGAUACCCUGGUAGUCCACGCAGUAAACGAUGAGUGCUAGAUAUUAAAGGAAAUUUAGUUUCGAAGUUAACACAUUAAGCACUCCGCCUGGGGAGUACGACCGCAAGGUUAAAACUCAAAGGAAUUGACGGGGACCCGCACAAGCGGUGGAACAUGUGGUUUAAUUCGAUGAUACGCGAAAAACCUUACCAAGUCUUGACAUAAUAGUUUUGUAUUUAAGAAACUAAAUACUCAGUUUGACUGAACUAUUACAGGUGUUGCAUGGCUGUCGUCAGCUCGUGCCG